AUGGCGUUGCGUUCCCACCAUGCGAGGCAGUGGGCAUGGGAGGCGAUGAUAGCCCUCGCGACAGACAUCGGCAUGACGGAGUCGCACUCUUCGAUGCUGCAGCGGUUCAUCCUCUUCCUCUCCCCACUGUACUGGAGAAAACACCUGGUGAAGGCGAUUCACGCUGGGCUCCAUCUUCGCGGUGGAUCACGCUGCAGCUUCAUGGGGGAGCGGAUCACGCUGCAGCUCGAAGGCACUGCGGCUCCAACUACAUCUCGGCGGCCCGGCAGCUCGAAGACGUAG
rnacentral:rRNA from 1 species